rnacentral:lncRNA from 1 species
CUUGCGGACAAGGCUUGUUGAUUACUCACCAGCCACCAUGUCGUCUGGACCCUUUUUACAGAUGUUGGUGGACUCAGCUGACAAAAACACAGGACUCCCCUCCGGUCUUUCGGGAUCACCACGCAGGAUUCCUCCACCCCAGACAAGCAAGCUCACCAUGGAAUACCCACGCACACCCAAUACAGAGCCAGAAAGGGUGAGGAUGGAAACAGAUAUCACUUCCAAGUUGUGCCCAAGGAGACCUACUUCCUCCAAGACCCUUCUUUCUGAUACGACAUUCAGGUAAUGGCCCCAUCCAAUGUCUGUCCGCUGAUGAACUUAGCACCCG